rnacentral:rRNA from 1 species
GAUGAACGCUGGCGGCGUGCCUAAUACAUGCAAGUCGAGCGAAUGGAUUAAGAGCUUGCUCUUAUGAAGUUAGCGGCGGACGGGUGAGUAACACGUGGGUAACCUGCCCAUAAGACUGGGAUAACUCCGGGAAACCGGGGCUAAUACCGGAUAAUAUUUUGAACUGCAUGGUUCAAAAUUGAAAGGCGGCUUCGGCUGUCACUUAUAGAUGGACCCGCGUCGCAUUAGCUAGUUGGUGAGGUAACGGCUCACCAAGGCAACGAUUGCGUAGCCGACCUGAGAGGGUGAUCGGCCACACUGGGACUGAGACACGGCCCAGACUCCUACGGGAGGCAGCGGUAGGGAAUCUUCCGCAAUGGACGAAAGUCUGACGGAGCAACGCCGCGUGAGUGAUGAAGGCUUUCGGGUCGUAAAACUCUGUUGUUAGGGAAGAACAAGUGCUAGUUGAAUAAGCUGGCACCUUGACGGUACCUAACCAGAAAGCCACGGCUAACUACGUGCCAGCCGCCGCCGUAA